UACAGAGGUCCCAAGCGUUACUGAGAAUCACUGGGUUUAAAGGGUGCGUAGGUGGUCCGUUAAGUCAGUUGUGAAAUCCCCGAGCUCAACUCGGGAACUGCUUCUGAUACUGGCGGACUUGAGGCCAGUAGGGGUCACUAGAACUGACGGUGGAGCGGUGAAAUGCGUAGAUAUCGUCAGGAAUGCCGGUGGUGAAGACGGGUGACUGGGCUGGUUCUGACACUGAGGCACGAAAGCGUGGGGAGCGAACGGG
rnacentral:rRNA from 1 species